CUUCUAGGUGGUGAAAAGUGACAGCUGCUCUGUGCAGUUACGAUGCUGCACUGCCACAGUAACCUUCUCCCUCUGUGGUGAUCCAAUAUUCUACCAUAUGUCAGCAAAACUAUUCCAGCCCGGCCCUUUCAACUCUCCCGAAUCUAAGCCAACAGUCAAGGUACUAUGAAGACGUCAGGCGUAUGGAAAUAACAGAUGGGAAAGGCGAGCAGAGAUCAUUACUCUGAACUGUCUUGGAUGUCCCUGGGCAAUGCUAAGCUAACAUUCAGCAGUGUCUACAAGAUGACACACAACAUGUUGAAAGAAUGGAGCGGUGAUUCCCUUGGAAGGAUGUGAAAAGCUUUCCAAUCUCGAGGUGAUAUCAGAGCUCUUUCCCAUUGAAACACUUGGAUGCUCUUUCUCCAGCUAUCAUGCUCUCUUUUUUCCACUCAAGAAAAGAAGAGAAUGCAGGUUCCCACAGAUACUGCAAGCCCCCUCAAGCUUAGGCAGUGGCCCUAACUUAGAUCUCUCUUCCUUCUAGAUCAACACAGCUGCAAUGGAGGGUUCAUAACGGCACCUGCCUGGUUGGAGAGAGGUUUAAGCAGAUGACAAGGAGGAAGUGCCUGGUGCAGGAUAAGGCCUCAGGAAUGGCCCAGGUUGUCCCUGCUUGGAGCUUCAGAUGUGGUUUGAACCCAGGUCUGCAUGAUUCUCAAGUCAUACUUCAACAAACACAAUAAAACUCAUAUCAAAUGUUGGACAGCAUUACUUGGCAUUAUUGGGUUGCAAAACUUCAAGCCAGUUACAG
rnacentral:lncRNA from 1 species